rnacentral:rRNA from 1 species
UACGAAGGGGGCUAGCGUUGCUCGGAAUCACUGGGCGUAAAGGGCGCGUAGGCGGGUCUUUAAGUCAGGGGUGAAAUCCUGGAGCUCAACUCCAGAACUGCCUUUGAUACUGUCGAUCUGGAGUAUGGAAGAGGUGAGUGGAAUUCCGAGUGUAGAGGUGAAAUUCGUAGAUAUUCGGAGGAACACCAGUGGCGAAGGCGGCUCACUGGUCCAUUACUGACGCUGAGGUGCGAAAGCGUGGGGAGCAAGCAGG